AUUGAACGCUGGCGGCAGGCCUAACACAUGCAAGUCGAGCGGUAGAGAGAAGCUUGCUUCUCUUGAGAGCGGCGGACGGGUGAGUAAUGCCUAGGGAUCUGCCUGGUAGUGGGGGAUAACGUUCGGAAACGGACGCUAAUACCGCAUACGUCCUACGGGAGAAAGCAGGGGACCUUCGGGCCUUGCGCUAUCAGAUGAGCCUAGGUCGGAUUAGCUAGUUGGUGGGGUAAUGGCUCACCAAGGCGACGAUCCGUAACUGGUCUGAGAGGAUGAUCAGUCACACUGGAACUGAGACACGGUCCAGACUCCUACGGGAGGCAGCAGUGGGGAAUAUUGGACAAUGGGCGAAAGCCUGAUCCAGCCAUGCCGCGUGUGUGAAGAAGGUCUUCGGAUUGUAAAGCACUUUAAGUUGGGAGGAAGGGCAGUAAAUUAAUACUUUGCUGUUUUGACGUUACCGACAGAAUAAGCACCGGCUAACUCUGUG
rnacentral:rRNA from 1 species